GGAAUUACUUUAUUGGAAGUACCCACGACGGGGAAAAUAGUCUCUCUAGUAUUGUCGGUGAAUGGUGAUGGUGGUGGUGGCGAUGGCUACUUUCCUCUGCUCAGAGAGAACCCCUGCAUGUCCUUCGUCGUGAUGCAAAAGAGCAGUGGAUGCAGAAAAUGUCUCUACCUGCCAGGAUGGUAUAAGAGCACGAACUGAAUCACCUGUUGGUGCAGAAGGCUUGGAGGACUGCUUUUGAAACAGUUGUUCAAAUUUCCUGCACCUCUUCGUAGCCGUUGUCUGAUUGCUGCAUUCUGGGGAGACUGAAGUGAAGAAGCCCUCACCGAAACCAACACUACGUUGCUGUGUUGUUUUCUUCCAAGGUCGGGCACAGUAAAGAAGACGACUCUGUAUCAAGGCACUACCCAGAGGGAGGAUGUUGGCCUUCUCCUGAUGGGAAAAUGUCUUCUUUCUCAUGGCGUAGUCAGGACUGCACUGACCCUACCAUCCACUUUACCUCUCCGGAAAGGGACUUGACAACCAGUCAAGAUGGAAGUGCAGAGAUAUACCAGCGCUUCUAGCAUUAACUGCCAAUUUGCACUGACGCAGCAAGACUCCCAACAGUCAAAAAGAAUAAUAUAGACAUGCAGAAAAUGUAGGAGAGCGAUGACAUCAGAAGGACACUCUCAGGUUCAGGGUACCUGUACUGCCCCAAUAAAUUGGGUCAGAUCCCAAAACGAGGUUGGCCGAAGCAAAAAAAAUAGAAGAGCCUGCCUUCAAUUGAAUAUGAGGAAGAAGAAGACAAAGAAAGAAAAAGAGUAGGAAUUUGCUUGUGUAAACUUUGUUUCCUCUGUCUAGGCUGCCAUCGCAUUAUAGCAGCCAACAGUGUGUGUGUGUGUGUGUGUGUGUGUGU